rnacentral:rRNA from 1 species
CACCUGUUUAUCAAAAACAUUGUAUUAAGUUUAAUUUAAUAUAGGAUCUGCUCAAUGAUUUAUUAAAUAGCUGCAGUAUUUUGACUGUGCAAAGGUAGCAUAAUAAUUAGUCUUUUAAUUGAGGACUUGUAUGAAAGAUUUGAUGAGAAAUAAACUUUAUUAUUUAUAUAAUUAAAAUUUUAUUUUUAAGUAAAAAAGCUUAAAUUAUUUAAAGGGACGAUAAGACCCUAUAAAACUUUAUAAAUUUUAAAUUUAAUUUUUUUGGAUUUAUAAAUAUUUUAUUUUUAAAAUUUAUUUUAUUGGGGUGAUAAAAAAAAUUAAUAAACUUUUUUUAAAAAUUAACAUUAUUUAAUGAAUUUUUGAAUUAAAAUUUUUAAUUAAAGGAAAAAGUUACUUUAGGGAUAACAGCGUAAUUAAUUUUUUAAGUUCAAAUUUAAAAAUUAGUUUGCGACCUCGAUGUUGAAUUAAGAUUAAUCUUAGGUGCAAAAUUUUAAGUGUUAGGUCUGUUCGACCUUUAAAUUCU